rnacentral:rRNA from 1 species
UACGAAGGGUGCAAGCGUUGCUCGGAAUUAUUGGGCGUAAAGGGUAGGUAGGUGGUUACGUAUGUCUGGGGUGAAAUCCCUGAGCUUAACUCAGGACGUGCCUUGGAAACGGCGUAACUAGAGUACUGGAGAGGUUCGUGGAAUUCCCGGUGUAGCGGUGAAAUGCGUAGAGAUCGGGAGGAACACCAGCGGCGAAGGCGGCACCCUGGACCAGCACUGACACUGAGGCACGAAAGCGUGGGGAGCAAACGGG